ACUGGGUUUCAGUCUAACUAAAUCACAGAGAUAAAUAAGCGCCAAAAUAAAUCCUGGCGACAAACAAAUUGUGCCCUUUUCCCGCUUCCAUGUUCCAUUCAAGAGCCAGAGCGAUCAAUCAAGCACAAGCAAACCUUCUUCGCCAUUGCAGCAAUCCCAUACAUGCCCAACAGCCAUACCACACUUUCCGUCCCAACAAACCCAAGACCAAGCCCCACCGCGAACGACUUCACAGAGACACCACAAAGCUUCGCAGGCCCAUCCCUUUCGUCUCCGAUGUCAAAGAAGUUGAAGACCCAGAAGAAGCCUUGUCUCUCUUCUACGAGUACCACCAAAUGGGCUUCAAGCACGACUACCCUUCUUACUCUGCUCUUCUCUACAAGCUCGCUCGUUCUCGAAACUUUGAAGCCGUCGAGACCAUUCUCGGCUAUUAAGAAGGGUAUCUUUGCAAUGAUCGAAACAUUCAUUGCAAAGAUACACUUUUCAUUGCUCUGAUUCAACAUUAUGGGAAGGCCAAUUUGGUAGAGAAAGCCAUUGAGCUUUUUAACCAGAUGCCUUCUUUUAAUUGUGUCCGUACAUUGCAGGCCUUCAAUGCCCUCCUUAAUGUGCUUGUUGAUAGCGGUAGGUUUGUGGAAGCGGAUGAGAUUUUUGGUCGGUGUUCUAAAAUGGGUUUUCGGCCGAAUUCGAUUUCGUAUAAUAUUAUGAUGAAGGGGUGGCUUCAAAAGGGUGACGGGGAAGAAGCUUGCAAGGUUUUUGAUGAAAUGCUUGAGAAAAAAGUGCAACCUAGUGUUGUGACGUAUAAUAGUCUUAUAGGGUUUUUUGGUAGGAAGGGUGAGUUGGAGAAAGCUAAUGGUUUGCUUGAGGACAUGAAACAGAAAGGGAAGUACCCAAAUGCUGUAACAUACGCAUUGUUGAUGGAAGGUUUCUGCAUGCUAGGAAAGCAUGACGAAGCAAAGAAGAUGAUGUUUGAUAUGGAGUAUCGGGGUUGUAAACCACGGCUUCUGAAUUAUGGUGUUUUGAUAAGUGAUCUUGGAAGGAGAGGAAAGAUUGAUGAGGCAAAAUCUUUACUUCAAGAGAUGAAGAAAAGGCUGUUUAAGCCAGAUGUAGUGCUGUAUAACAUAUUGAUUAACUUUCUGUGCAAGGAAGGUAGGGCUGCAGAGGCUUAUAAAGUCUUGAUUGAAAUGCAAGUUGGAGGCUGUGUGCCUAAUGCAGCUACAUACAGGAUGAUGGUUGACGGGUUUUGUCAGAUUGAUGAUUUUGAGGGAGGUUUGAAGGUUUUGAUUGCAAUGUUGACAAGUAGACAUUGUCCUCGUUUAGAAACAUUUGAAUGUUUGGUUACAGGUCUAGUAAAGUGUGGGAAAAUUGAUGAUGCUUGUGUUGUCUUGGAGGAGAUGGAAAAGAGAAAUAUGCAAUUUUGUUUUGAAGCUUGGGAAGCUCUAGUUGUGGAUGCUUGUGGUGAGAAUGUUGUUGCAGGGGAGGUUGUGACUGAACUAAUCUCUGUCCAUUAAUGGUCAUCAAGGAAGAAAUGAACACAUGCCAUUUUGGCGUGACUUCUGUAGCUCUUUCAAGCCCCCCAUCCUGCACGGAGACAACGCAAUAAAGAUUGGUGGCAAGCCCCUUGUCCCACAUUUUUAAUGGGUGCUUUUAGCAAUUAUUGAGCUUUACCAUCCUGGAGAGUCUUGCUAAUAUCGUAUGAUAGUUUAGUUCAAUGGAAAAAGAAAAAAGAAAAACUUUAUCCACAAGAGAAUCAUAGUGCUGCUUGACCCAUGGCUUGGAGCUAGAAGAAAUAUGCUCGUUUGGCUGAUGGGAAGGAUAAAAAAUUUUCUAAGGUAUUGGAAGCUCUAGUCUGUGAUGCUUGUAAAACAGAACUAAGCUAUGCCCACUGGUAGGCUUCACCAGAAAGAGGAAACUUUGUUUAAGAAUUGAAACAUUUCAUCAAUAUAAUGGGUGGUUGAUGCCAAAUGUAGGUUUCAGAAAGCUCACUAUGCUUGCGGUUGUUCAAAUAAAGGUUAGAUAAGCAUGUAAGCUGAGCUAAAUCUAUGACCACUGCAGUAUUCAGGGAAGAGAGGAAGUUUUUGUUCAAGAAUCGAACUGUUGAUGCGAGCGAAGUCUUGUUUCUGGGGAAGCUCUAGUUAGGAAUGCUCCUGGUGCAAAUAGAGGUUUGACAGGCAUGUAAAAUUGAAGUUAUCUUUACCCACUUGUGGGCUUCGGGGAAUAGAGGAAGCUUUAUAAAAGUUUGUCAAUAUUUUGGAAUGUCGAUGCCAAGUCCUUUGUCUAACUUUUAAUGGGGGAACAUAACUGCUUCCAUGUCGACCAUGAAAAUGCAUAUCUUACCUCUAUUUCGGUUUUUGAGUUAAUGUGCAGUAAAAAGUUACCUUGU